AUUGAACGCUGGCGGCAUGAUUUACACAUGCAAGUCGAACGGUAACAGGCCGCAAGGUGCUGACGAGUGGCGAACGGGUGAGUAAUGCAUCGGAACGUGCCCAGUCGUGGGGGAUAACUACUCGAAAGAGUAGCUAAUACCGCAUACGAUCUAUGGAUGAAAGCGGGGGACCGUAAGGCCUCGCGCGAUUGGAGCGGCCGAUGUCAGAUUAGGUAGUUGGUGGGGUAAAGGCUCACCAAGCCAACGAUCUGUAGCUGGUCUGAGAGGACGACCAGCCACACUGGGACUGAGACACGGCCCAGACUCCUACGGGAGGCAGCAGUGGGGAAUUUUGGACAAUGGGCGCAUGCCUGAUCCAGCAAUGCCGCGUGCAGGAAGAAGGCCUUCGGGUUGUAAACUGCUUUUGUACGGAACGAAACGGCUCUGGUUAAUACCCGGGGCUAAUGACGGUACCGUAAGAAUAAGCACCGGCUAACUACGUG
rnacentral:rRNA from 1 species